UCCAUUUUUAGGGGGAGGCUGGAGGGUCUGGAGAGUCAGCAGUGGGAUUGCUUUGGGAAGGGCAUCAGGAAGAAGUGGAUCCUGGCAUAAUUGGCUUUGAGGGAUUUGCAGGCUGAAUAACGAAUGCAGGAAAAUUUGGUCACUCCUGCGCAGCGGGAAGUAUUCCUGUCCCAUCACCAGGGAGACCUUCAGCAGCCCAAAUAAAAAAGGAGACCUCAACAAGUGCAUGAUGUGCCAGAGGCUGCUGGAAAGAGACUCAGCUACCCAAGGGAGUGGUGGAGAGCUGGACAGGAAUGUGAACUCCUUGGGAAAGGACGAGUGUCGGGAGUUUCGGGAUCUGUUCAAGAGAGGGAAACUCACCUGCACCAGGGAGAACGACCCUGUCCGGGAUGCCUCUGGGAAGCAGCACAGCAAUAAGUGCAUCAUGUGUGCAGAGAAGUUCAAAAGGGAGAAUGAGCAGAAGUUAUCUAAAAACAGACAAGGAAAAGAUAAGGAUGACUGCAGCGAGUUCCGCUCCCAGUUUGAAGCCGGCGGCCGCCUGUCCUGCACCAGGGAGAAUGCCCCUGUCCGGGAUGCCUCUGGCAGGCAGCACACCAACAAAUGCCUCAUGUGUGCUGAGAGGUUCAAAAAGGAAGCUCAAAGAGGGGGUGGAACUCUCCAGCGCAACAAACUGCCUGCUUCAGAGAGGACAAAGCAGAAGAACUGUGGUGGCUCAAGGCAGGGUGUAAACGAGAGGCGUCCCUUCUCCUCGGGCAGAGGCCCUCAAGUGCAGCGUGGCAGGAACUGCAACCGGCCACCAGGCCGUAAGUCCCAGAGCAGAGACAGCCACGAGGACCCCACGCUGGACUGUGAGCGAAUUCUGCAUGGGGUAAAGGGUGGAAGGAUUUUCUGCAGCGAAUCCUCACAACCAGUCUGUGGCACUGAUGGGAAAACAUACAAAAAUGAAUGUGACUUGUGUUCAGCUGCCAUGAGAGCUUCAAACUUCAUCACGGUAAACUAUCGAGGCGAGUGCCAAGAGCCUGGCAAUGCAGUGGUAAGCAGCAAACCACAGCUGGGCUGCCAAACAUCAAUCUCUGCCUUUCCCCUGGUGGAAAUUCCCCAUUGGCACCAUGUCAGCCUGUGGUGACCUGAUCCAGGCAGCCACAAUGGGCAGUGAGGAAUGAGGAGUGGCUGGCACUCGCCAGCUGCCCACUGUGCCCUUCAGCAGGAGCUGGGUGUCCACACUGGGACCUCGCUGGCAGGUUAACAGAGUUAGCCUGUUCCCUCAGGUCACAGUGGGAUAAAGGCAUGCUCUCCAGCUGCUCUUCAGCCAUAUUGGCUGGGACGGAAGAGAGGUAUUGAGGCUCCUAUUUCUGUUUCAUUUUGUUCCUGGAGUGGAAUGAUGUCAAGAGGUGAAGAAAAGAAAGUGCCUCUUGGCUGUGUGUAGCAUCCCACUUUACUCUAAGUGCCUCCUGGGGAGCCAGCCUGGCUUCUGCACCUGUGACAGGACCAUAAGAGCCCCAGGAAUGGAUUCUCAUGGUCCAGAUGUUUAAAUACAGGUUGAGGCUCGGAUUUAAUGCAUAACCUGGGCAUAGUCUCCAUGUUUUGCUGAGGCUGCAUGGUAGGAGUGUGAUGUGUCUGGGAAAACACCUGACUUUCUUCUUGGCACUUUGAUGGAGCUAGGAAGAUCAGAAUGGUAUAAACCAUAAAGGGCUUGUUCCCCAGAUAAUAUCCAGGGAGAUGGUUGGGAAAUUAAGAUUAUUCACUAGGUGGCACACUUUUGGGAAAGGUCUUGAGCCUUGACAUCUUGUGCAAUCCCAUAGGGCAGAUGAGUUAAACAUUUCUUAGCUGUGCUUUGUCUUUCUACCAGUGGAAGCUGGACAGCCUCCAGCUCUGGGAUGUGGUGUCAGCGUCUCCCAGUUUGUGAUUCUGUGCAUGGGAUGUCCUGUAGCACCUGGGGAGGACUGUCCUCAUUGGCAUGAACUCUUGAGAAACUCAAUCCUUAUCCCCAGGAUAUAGAUCGAUUCCCACUCUAAACCUGUAGAGAAUCCAAAUAUUGAACGUACCAAAGAGAUUUCUGGGAAGUUUUGGGUGGGAGCAUUGGUUUCUGAGUAUGGAUGUGGUGUCCAUGUGUUUUUAGGUGCAGUGGGAUGUGGGCUAUGAGAGAGCCAUCCUGCCACAGUGUCAUUCCAUGCCUUCCUCUGCUCAGUGCCAGGACACCAGCAGAUCCCCCAAACACAGCAAAUCUGGCUUCUUUCCCCCUCUUCUCUGAAGCAGCAGAGUGCUCUAAACUUUGCUUAAAGUCAAAGAAAUUGCAGAGAGAAAUAAUUUUGCCUGUGACAGUCCUGGAGGCCUCUGUGUCUCAGUCCUUAGGGAGAUGGAGCUGCUGCUGGCCUGUGGGUACUGGGAGAUGAGGCACUACAAGAAUCUGUCAGUGACUGUGUCCAAGUCAGAAUGAGACUGGAUACACCAUGGCAACUGAAAAAUAGACAGGAUUCCCAAAAAACUGUGCUGGGUCUGGAAUUCCUUACUGUCUCACUGAGCUGUUACAGCUCUCAAGCCCUUGCAAUAAGAGGGAGAUGCCAUUUACUGGAAGUCAGAGAGCUUGCAGCUGUGUUAAGUAUUCCAAGGAGAGAUGGAUGCAAUUAGAAGUCAAAGUGCUAAGCUUUUUUCUUGAGUCAAGAAAAGCUAAAGCCCCCCCUGCACAAUGAUUUAUUCUUUAUGUUUAUUAAAGUCACCUGAAGAAUCAGGCUGGAAAUUUAUGGGAGCUUAUAAACAAUGUACAGAGCAAUGUUAUUUUCAGCACUAAAAUUCAUGCUCCCUUGCAGUAUAAUGAAUUUUUCUUUCUGCUGGAGAUUCAGGCACUCAAUAUAUGCUACUAAAACCUGGAGGAAAGCAGCUCCAGCCGUGCUUUUGGCAUCAGAAAUGGGUUUAGAGAGUUGCAAUGUGCAGAAUGUGAAAUCCUUUGGAAGAAGAUAAGAAAUUGUUACCCAAAAAUUGUAGUAUUUCCUUGAGUUGUAUUUUUAAAUUACCCACGGAGAGUGCUGGGUUGCCUGAGAAAAUGUGUGUUAAAGCUGCCUCAUCCCUUUGCAGCCCAGGGCCUGCAGCCACCCCCGCCUUCAAAGCUCCAGCUGGAUUUUCCAGGUGUUUCUGGUGGCUCUGGUGACCUGAUGGCCAUCAGGGAAGGAAGCUUGUGGGAAGGGUUGGGAGCAGUGUGGUUUGAGAGAGAUCUGACACUAAUGGGUGUAUGUGGGCAUGGCUGGGGUGGAAAACCUUGCUGCAGAGAGAACCUGUCCUCACUGGCCAGCACUGGGUCUGGCCACCUUCCCUGGGAGGUCUCUGCCAUAACUGAAUUCCUUUGAUCCCGUUCUGCUUUACUGAUGACAAAUAUAGGUCGGCAUCGUGGGAUAAGAUAUCUUUUUUUGGUAAGUUAACUGCCUGGUAGGUCCUGCAGGGCCAUGUCACGUGGAUCAAUUGAUUGUGGGUCUUUCCUGCACAUUUGACUUUUAAUCCUGCAUAUCUGCAGUUCCUUUACUUGUUCAAAGGUUUUUCACACUAAUCACCUGGGCAGUAGUCACCAGCCUGCCCACGCUGUUCAAUAGAUCAGGGAAAAAAGGGGUUAUCCAGGGUUUCUCCCUUUCUUUUUUAUACCUGUUUCUCAACAAACAGAUAACUCCCACGUUUGCAAUGGGCAAGUCCCAGUUUCCUUACAAUGCACUGUUUUUCCACACUACUUUUAAAGGUAGUGAAAGGAGGGAAAGAAAAAAAGCAGGACCUUUCCCAGAUUAGAAAAUAGGUGUGGAAAGCACCUAGCUUGAGGCUGAAAUCAGUCUUGUUUUCCUCAGCUGGCAGUGGCCCAGCCUGCCUGUCCUUGUGCCAGGCUCUGCUGCAGUUGUCUUGUGUGGCACUGAGCUGGCCUGAGGGGCUGUCACACUGAUACCAGCGUCACACAGAUGUGGUCAAGCUUGGGGAUGGGCUCAUUUUUUCUGCUCUUCCUUUCCAGGAGUAAUGGAGUUCAGACUGCCAGCAAACACCAGGGAUCAGCUGUGACCAAAGAGAAAGUAAAGGAAGCAUCGAUGUCGAGCAUCAGGGGAGCUGCUGAG